rnacentral:pre_miRNA from 1 species
GAACUACUCCCUCCGUUCCAAAUUACUCGUCGCUGAAAUGGAUGUAUCUAGAAAUAAAAUACAUCUAGAUACAUCCAUACGUGCGACAAGUAAUUCGGAAUGGAGGGAGUACAAC